rnacentral:lncRNA from 1 species
GAAUUUAUUUAGGUUAAAGUUAUCAGCAGUUCUUAAGCUGUCCUCUAGAUUUGUACCCUGACUCUCACAGACAAGGCUACUGGGCUCCUCACUUCCAAAGCAGCACGUACAGACGGAGGCUCUUUGAAAGAAGGUGUGCGUCCUCUUUGAAAACAUAGCUGCCUGCUGUAUGAUUUCAGCCCAUGAUGAACAGUGCAUCGAUGCUGAGCACAACUACCCUAAGAGAUGUGCCAUUACGCGCUAUUACUGGAAUCGGCUGCUGGAAAUACAGACUAUGACAGAGCACCACAGCAAAGCAGCGUGGUGUUUUCAUGCAGAAAGGCAGAUUCCAUCACAGUCCCGGACCACAGUCAGCAAGCAUUAGACUGCUGCUAUCGGGUAGAGUCAUUCUAGCCAAGACACAAGAUUUAGCAGAUGUUUAGCAAAAGGUUCCAUUCGUCUUGCCACAGACACAUGUGGAGCUGUCAAGAGUCUAGUAAAGAUUUUACAAGUUUUAUAAGUCAUAGUUUAUUGAGCUUGGGAAAGAAUUUAAUAUGGCAUCACGAUCUUGGAAGCUGUUUUUUUUCUGGCAUAACAUGUUUUAAUUUGUUUCUAAAGGUCAGUAAGGAUGGAGAAAUAUGGCUUGCUGGCAUGGCGGAGAGCAUGAUGGAGGUAAAGGAGACGACCACUUUGAGAAGAAGACUCACUGCAUCUGAAACACAUGCUGCUGAGGACAACCGGUCUGUUCAUGGGCCCCCAGAAGUGGAGCUGCUUGUCCAAAAGAUGUUGUUGUCCAAAGAUACCCCACAGGUAGUCGAGGACCCUGUGGAUCAACAGCAGAGCUGGGAACAUGAGCCAACUCUGAGGCUCUUCAGGGAAAUACUCUGUGAAACGUAACAAUAGAGGGGCACCAGAGAAGCGAUCACUUAUGGUGCAGUGUCUCAUCCCUCUUCUGAUGGCAGCAGAUGGCCAGGGCUGCUCAAUCCCAGAUUAAUCAAAAUUCCAUUUGGAAGAGGCACGCAGGAGCAGUCCAGAGAUGGAACUGGGCUGGCGGAGGAGACAGCAGGAUUGAAUAUGCUGAAAACCCAUGUGGAAUUCAUAGAAAAAAUCAAAUAAAAAUGUUCUAGGAAAAGAGGUCUGUAAAUGA